UAUUUCGUGCCCAACUCACCCUAAGUCAC
rnacentral:piRNA from 1 species